rnacentral:rRNA from 1 species
GAUGAACGCUGGCGGCGUGCCUAAUACAUGCAAGUCGAGCGAACACACAAGGAGCUUUCUCUCCUAACGGUAGCGGCUGACGGGUGGGUAACACGUGGAUAACCUACCUCUAAUUCUGGGAUAACUUCGGGAAACAGGUGCUGAUAACUGAUAAUAUAUUUAACCGCUUGGUUCAAUAGUUCUAGACGGCUUUGGUGUCACUUAUAGAUGAAUCCGCGCCGCAUUAGCUAGUUGGUAAGGUAACGGCUUACCAAGGCGACGAUGCGUAGCCGACCUGAGAGGAUGAUCGGCCACACUGGAACUGAGACACGGUCCAGACUCCUACGGGAGGCAGCAGUAGGGAAUCUUACGCAAUGGGCGCAAGCCUGACGGAGCCACGCCGCGUGAGUGAAGAAGGUCUUCGGAUCGUAAAACUCUGUUAUUAGGAAAGAACAAAUGUGUAAGUAUCCAUGCCCGUCCUGACGGUACCUAAUGAGAAAGCAACGGCUAACUACGUG